rnacentral:rRNA from 1 species
CAUUAAAGAAUCAAAUAUGGUGGGCGGAAGAAAAUAGAGAGACUGUGCUGGCCGUUUGAAUAAGACGGCAUGUGCACGUCCCCUCGUCUUUUUCUGUCUAUCAUAUACAACACACCUGUGCACCAAUUGUAGAUUUCCCCUUCGAAAGAGGGAGGCGAUCUAUGUCUUCAUCACACACACUAUUGUAUGGCCAGAAUGAAAAUUAAUAAAAUACAACUUUCAGCAAUGGAUCUCUUGGUUCUCGCAUCGAUGAAGAACGCAGCGAAUUGCGAUAAGUAAUGUGAAUUGCAGAUUUCCAGUGAAUCAUCGAAUCUUUGAACGCAUAUUGCGCUCCUUGGUAUUCUGAGGAGCAUGCCUGUUUGAGUGUCAUUUGAUUAUCAACCAUAAUUCUCGAAAGAGAAUGAUGGCUUGGAGUUGGGGGUUGCUGGCGACCACUGGUCGUCAGCUCUCCUUAAAUGCAUUAGCGGUCGAGUUGGGCUAUCAAGUCUUUUGACAUGCACGGCCAUUGACGUGAUAAUGAUCGUCGUGGCUGGAGUGUCUUUGCUAGACUAUGCUACAUAGAUUGCUUCUAAUAAAAGAAACUUCAUCAAGCUUAGCUACUAGGCAGUCUUUGAAAAGAGGCUGGCGAACACAAGCAAGAGGAAGGGAAGUUAAUGUUGACAAAUAAAUCCUUGAUGAGCUAGCUUAGUUACUAGGCAGUCUUUGGAAACAAAGGCUGGCGAAAGCAAGCAAGUUAACGUUGAUGUCGACGGUAAAUCCUUGAUCUGAUCAAGCUUAGCGACUAGGCAGUCUUUGAAAAGAGGCUGGCGAAAGCAAGGAAGAAAAGGGCAAGGAUGGAAGUUGAUGUGGAUGUUAAUGUAAGUUCUCGUUAGUUAUUAGGCAGCCUUGUUUGAAAUCAAAGGAGGCUGGCGAAAGCAAGCAAGCAAGAGGAUAGAAGUCAAUGUUGAUGAAAUAUUAAUGACUUGACCU